rnacentral:snRNA from 1 species
UUGCUUCGACAGCACAUAUAGUAAAAUUGGAACAAUACAGAGGAGAUUAGCAUGUGCAAGGAUGACAUGUAAAUUCCUCAAGCAUUCUGUCUUUAA